GAUGAACGCUGGCGGCGUGCCUAAUACAUGCAAGUCGAGCGAACCAGAGGGAGCUUGCUCCCGAUGGUUAGCGGCGGACGGGUGAGUAACACGUGGGCAACCUGCCUGUAAGACUGGGAUAACUUCGGGAAACCGGAGCUAAUACCGGAUAACAUAUAAGACCACAUGGUCUUGUAUUAAAAGAUGGCUUUAGCUAUCACUUACAGAUGGGCCCGCGGCGCAUUAGCUAGUUGGUGAGGUAACGGCUCACCAAGGCAACGAUGCGUAGCCGACCUGAGAGGGUGAUCGGCCACACUGGGACUGAGACACGGCCCAGACUCCUACGGGAGGCAGCAGUAGGGAAUCUUCCGCAAUGGACGAAAGUCUGACGGAGCAACGCCGCGUGAGCGAAGAAGGUCUUCGGAUCGUAAAGCUCUGUUGUUAGGGAAGAACAAGUAUCGUUCGAAUAGGGCGGUACCUUGACGGUACCUAACCAGAAAGCCACGGCUAACUACGUGCCAGCAGCCGCGGUAAUACGUAGGUGGCAAGCGUUAUCCGGAAUUAUUGGGCGUAAAGCGCGCGCAGGCGGUCCUUUAAGUCUGAUGUGAAAGCCCACGGCUCAACCGUGGAGGGUCAUUGGAAACUGGGGGACUUGAGUGCAGAAGAGGAGAGCGGAAUUCCACGUGUAGCGGUGAAAUGCGUAGAGAUGUGGAGGAACACCAGUGGCGAAGGCGGCUCUCUGGUCUGUAACUGACGCUGAGGCGCG
rnacentral:rRNA from 1 species